rnacentral:lncRNA from 1 species
UUAGUUCCAAGUGGAGUAUACUUUUUAUGGUGGAGUAUGAUAAUUUAAUUUGUCGGUAUAGACAAUGAGAAUUAUGAUUGUCGGUGAAGACAAUGAUUGUCGGUAUAGAUAAUGAAAGCAGAAGAUAAUGAUUGUCGGUGUAGACAAUGAAGAUUGAAGACCAUUACAAUCAAGGUGGAGAUUGUUGGGAUUGAUUGCAAUGUAAGUCUCACAUUGCUAACGAAGAAAAAGAAGGAGGUUAAAAAAUAGCUAUUGAAAGUCCCACAUCGCUUAGAAUUGUGAAGCAAGGAGGAAAUCAAAGCUAUAUAAUGGACCUAAGUUCUUUGUUUAUAAUUGCACCAAGCAGUAACACUUGUAAACACUUUAAGUUUAUAUUUGUGUCUUUUUGCUUUUCUCUUAUGCUCUUGUUUAAGAGUAUUUGAGAUGUAGUUCAAAUAUUU